UGUGUUGCUUACCUACGAAAAGGAAUUCGAUCGUUCGCUUGCCCCCUUUCCGCCCGACGCCCUCUGUGGGCGCGGGGUGGACACCAGGCCGGCUCCGUGUUUCCUGGCACGCCUCGCCCCCGUGCGUUGGCUGCCUUGGCGCACGGUGCUGUUGCCCGUUCUCUCGGAUGCGGAACGUCGUGCGCGGGUGCGGGGGCCUCGGCCUCCGCUAGCCCGAGCUGUGCAUUUGUCCCUGGACACGAACGACGGUCGCGCCCGUCUUGACCCCGGGGUCCUCGGGCCGCGAGGGGCUCAUGCGGGCGUCGACGUCGCCGAAGGAAUGCUACCUGGUUGAUCCUGCCAGUAGUCAU
rnacentral:misc_RNA from 1 species